rnacentral:piRNA from 1 species
GUCAGGAAGCCUUGGAAUAACAGUACCUCUU